GACAGAGGUGCCGAGCGUUAGGCGGAAUCACUGGGCUUAAAGCGUGUGUAGGCGGAUCUGUAAGUACCUUGUGAAAUCCCACGGCUCAACCGUGGAACUGCUUGGUAUACUGCGGGUCUUGAGCCACCUAGGGGCAAGUGGAACAAACGGUGGAGCAGUGAAAUGCGUAGAUAUCGUUUGGAACGCCAAUGGUGAAAACAACUUGCUGGGGAGUACCUGACGCUCAGGUGCGAAAGCCAGGGGAGCGAACGGG
rnacentral:rRNA from 1 species